rnacentral:lncRNA from 1 species
AUUAAGAUCAACUCAAAGGUCUGGUAAUAAUGAAGAAGUUCAACACAGAACACUGGAACGAACGAACAAUUGUGCCUAGGUUCAAAAGUCCAAGGACUUCCACUGACGUGGUCCCUCGUUCCAAGGAGCCAGAGGCAGUAGGAUGCCAACUCCUGAAAGAAAAAGUCAACCUUGCUAGUUCAAAGGCUGGACAGCAGUGGCUUGCGUCUUCCUGGAAAGGUGCAUAGCCUUCACUUUGGUGCACAUCAAGCAUCUUCGAGAAUGGCUUCAUUGGACACCAAAGGAGAAAAACAGC